GAUCUUCAGGGCAGGGUGAGAUUCCCGACCGGCGGUAAAGUCCGCGAGCGCCAAGGCGCAGGAACCGGUGAGAUUCCGGUACCGACAGUACAGUCUGGAUGGAAGAAGAU
rnacentral:ncRNA from 1 species